rnacentral:rRNA from 1 species
CGGACGGGUGAGUAACACGUGAGCAACCUGCCUUCGAGAGGGGAAUAACGGCUGGAAACGGUCGCUAAUACCGCAUAACAUACCGGGAGGACAUCCUGCUGGUAUCAAAGAUUUUAUCGCUCGAAGAUGGGCUCGCGUCCGAUUAGGUAGUUGGUGAGGUAACGGCUCACCAAGCCGACGAUCGGUAGCCGGACUGAGAGGUUGAACGGCCACAUUGGGACUGAGGCACGGCCCAGACUCCUACGGGAGGCAGCAG